rnacentral:misc_RNA from 1 species
AAAAGUCGUAACAAGGUUUCCGUAGGUGAACCUGCGGAAGGAUCAUUACUUUACGUGGGGGGGAGCAAUCCCCCUAAACGUCCACCCUCCCUUUACGAGUACCUCUUGUUCUUCCUCGGCAGGGCAACCUGCCGGUGGAACUUCAACGAAAACCUUUUUGCAUCUUACAGUACAACGUUCUGAUAAACCACAAAUCGUUUACAACUUUCAACAAUGGAUCUCUUGGCUCUG